AGACCCGAAACCCGGUGAUCUAGCCAUGGGCAGGUUGAAGGUUGGGUAACACUAACUGGAGGACCGAACCGACUAAUGUUGAAAAAUUAGCGGAUGACCUGUGGCUGGGGGUGAAAGGCCAAUCAAACCGGGAGAUAGCUGGUUCUCCCCGAAAGCUAUUUAGGUAGCGCCUCGUGAAUUCAUCUCCGGGGGUAGAGCACUGUUUCGGCUAGGGGGCCAUCCCGGCUUACCAACCCGAUGCAAACUGCGAAUACCGGAGAAUGUUAUCACGGGAGACACACGGCGGGUGCUAACGUCCGUCGUGAAGAGGGAAACAACCCAGACCGCCAGCUAAGGUCCCAAAGUCAUGGUUAAGUGGGAAACGAUGUGGGAAGGCCCAGACAGCCAGGAUGUUGGCUUAGAAGCAGCCAUCAUUUAAAGAAAGCGUAAUAGCUCACUGGUCGAGUCGGCCUGCGCGGAAGAUGUAACGGGGCUAAACCAUGCACCGAAGCUGCGGCAGCGACACUCAGGUGUUGUUGGGUAGGGGAGCGUUCUGUAAGCCUGCGAAGGUGGCCUGUGAGGGUUGCUGGAGGUAUCAGAAGUGCGAAUGCUGACAUAAGUAACGAUAAAGCGGGUGAAAAGCCCGCUCGCCGGAAGACCAAGGGUUCCUGUCCAACGUUAAUCGGGGCAGGGUGAGUCGACCCCUAAGGCGAGGCCGAAAGGCGUAGUCGAUGGGAAACGGGUUAAUAUUCCCGUACUUGGUGUUACUGCGAAGGGGGGACGGAGAAGGCUAUGUUGGCCGGGCGACGGUUGUCCCGGUUUAAGCGUGUAGGUGUGUGUUCCAGGUAAAUCCGGUUCACUUUAACACUGAGGCGUGAUGACGAGGCACUACGGUGCUGAAGCAACAAAUGCCCUGCUUCCAGGAAAAGCCUCUAAGCAUCAGGUAACAUCAAAUCGUACCCCAAACCGACACAGGUGGUCAGGUAGAGAAUACCAAGGCGCUUGAGAGAACUCGGGUGAAGGAACUAGGCAAAAUGGUGCCGUAACUUCGGGAGAAGGCACGCUGACAUGUAGGUGAAGUGAUUUACUCAUGGAGCUGAAGUCAGUCGAAGAUAC
rnacentral:rRNA from 1 species